CGCCGUGCCUCCGCUCCCGCCCGCCCGCACCUUGGUGUCCACGUCGGCCAAGCAGUCGCGGCGGAACUGGUCGAAGAGCCCCUGGCUCUUGAGACAAUGUUGCAGAAAUCUUAUUCUCUGGAUGCCUACCACAAGCAUCAAAUUCUGAGUGGACAACAUGCCCAACUGAUUCUAUGAGUAUUCAUAGACUUAAACUCUCUUGAGUUCAGUUCAUACCAUAAUUGAUAAAAGUGGUAACUGAACUUGACAGGUCACUGCCACCUUACAAAAGAUGUGAGUUACUCAUGUCUUUGUACAGAAGAAAGAAAAGACAGAAAGCGAUGAGCACUAGGAGCUCUUUGCAUGAAAUUUAGCACUUAGUAGACAGGAAAAAUGCAUAAUUUAAGAUUUAUUUAAGCUGGAUUUUUUUUUUCCUUUUAGUUUCAAAAAAUAUGUAUUGUUUUUUUGGUUGGCAUCCUGACUGAACUGAGGGUAUGUUAACAGCCCCUAAGAAGCAGAUCAUCCAUAUGCUGAAGAAGACUGUGGGCUCAGUUUCCCACAGAGGAAGAGUGCUGGAUGAAGGAUGGAAGCAGGCAAGCUCUGCAAUGAACUGAGACAUCCUGUGCCUCUGGUGCUGCCAUGUAAUGUAAGAAAAUAAGAGGUUCAUUGUAUUGUCUGAUUGGAGAUUGUGCCUGUUUGUGCAGUCCUUACUGUACACACAGUCAGAAGAGUUGACUGCCUGUAGCUAAAAUCCAUCCAAAUCCUCUACAAGGGACACAGGUAAUGAGUAGGUAAAUCUUUUGUAUAGCAUUUUCACUGCUUUUGUAGUUCUCUUAUCUUUCUUUUGCUUAACUUUGGAAGCAUUUUUUUUUCUGGUGGACAUUUUCUGGACUCCUCCAUGCUGGGUAACAGUGCUAGAUCCCUUAGAUUUAAGUGACAAACCUGACAGACUUAAUGACCUGAUGCCAAAACUCUCACCAUGUGUAAAUACAGAGGAGGCACCAUAAGAGAAAAUGAGUGUCAUUCUUCCUUCCCUGCCUCACAGUAGAUGUUCUUGAGCCUUUGGUUAGAUCAUGUCUGUCACUUGUAGUAUUUCCCAUUGUAUUUGGAAGGCAAUAUUUAUCUUUCCUAAAUAUUUUUAAUUAGCUUUCAAAUUAAAAGGUGAUAAGUAAGCAUAAGAAACACAGACAAUAUUAUACAUGACACAAUAUCUAUCACAGGAUGAUUGGCACCAAGCAAAAAUGUUGUCUUUUAGGAUCUCAGAUACUUAAAUGUUUAAGAAUUUGCUGCAUUUAUAUUUAAAAGAAAAGAACUUGUCAAGCAAAGAGAUUGAAAAAUUGUAUCUAUUUAUGCUAAAUAUGUUCAUAGAAUUUUUUAGAAUGAAAGAAAAUCUGGUUUCAUUAUCUUUAUUGAAGAGAAAUUACUCAAAAUUUUUGGUUGAGUUUUUUGUAGAAAAAAAUUAUUUUUUAUUCUAUUUAGGUAUCGGAUACUUCUUUUUACUUUGAAAGGAAAAUUACUUCAUUGUUUCAGAUGUGUCAGACAGUGGAAUAUCUUGGGCUAUCAAAACAGACAACAACAGUCAUGAUCAGAAACAUUUUGCUUUAGCAUGUAAGCCAUUAUUUCUAUAAAAUCAUUCAUAUUCUUAGGAUUUAACAGGCAUAUUUGGUGAAUUUAUUUACAUCUUCCCAAUGUUUUAUUCAUGUAUUGUUUCAGUUUUAUCUUUGUUAUUUCUGUUCCCCUGUCUUUCUUGAAUUUAUGAUUAAUGUUUCUUUAAGCAAGAAAACAAUACAUUCCAGAUCAAGAGUUAUACAAAGACAUAGCUUUUUUUGAGGAAUAAAAUGAUUCAAUAAAAUAUCAGUAUUCAUAGCAAGUUUUCUUUCUAUGCUAGAGAUGUUGUAGGCAAAAGUUAUGUUUAGACCAAAAUAAAAACUAUCCAAAGAGUAAAGAAAAAUGGAACAAGCAAUCAAUGUUUGUGGAAAAUUCCAGUCCCUACCUGGAUCUGGAUACAAUUGGCAAAGAGGACAAAAGAACUAAUGGCAUGGAUUUAAUGGAUCAAGUUUCUCU